rnacentral:rRNA from 1 species
GACAGAGGGUGCAAACGUUGUUCGGAAUUACUGGGCGUAAAGCGCGUGUAGGCGGCCAUCUAAGUCGGGCGUGAAAUCCCACGGCUCAACCGUGGAAGUGCACUCGAAACUGGAUGGCUAGAGUCCUGGAGAGGAAGGUGGAAUGCUUGGUGUAGAGGUGAAAUUCGUAGAUAUCAAGCGGAACACCGGUGGCGAAGGCGGCCUUCUGGACAGUGACUGACGCUGAGGAGCGAAAGCCAGGGGAGCAAACGGGG